AACCUACCCUUGAGACGGAGACAACCCCGGGAAACUGGGGCUAAUCCCCGAUAGACGAGAACUCCUGGAACGGGUUCUCGUCUAAAAGGCAUCAAGGCCAUGCUUCUUGGUGUCGCUCAAGGAUGGGGCCGCGGCCGAUCAGGCUGUUGGUGAGGCAACGGCUCACCAAACCUAUAACCGGUACGGGCCGUGGGAGCGGGAGCCCGGAGAUGGGAACUGAGACAAGGUCCCAGGCCCUACGGGGCGCAGCAGUUGCGAAAACUCCGCAAUGCACGAAAGUGUGACGGGGCUACUUCUUNCUNAGUGCCGUCCGCUGAGGAUGGCUUUUCCCUGGUGUAAGGAGCCGGGGGAAUAAGGAGAGGGCAAGUCUGGUGUCAGCCGCCGCGGUAAUACCAGCUCUCCGAGUGGUAGGGAUGAUUAUUGGGCUUAAAGCGUCCGUAGCCUGCCCUUCAAGUCUCUCGUUAAAUCCAGCGAUUCAAUCGUUGGACUGCGGGAGAUACUGUUGGGCUAGGGGGCGGGAGAAGCCGACGGUAUNUCCGGUGUAGGGGUAAAAUCCUAUAAUCCCGGGAGGACCACCAGUGGCGAAGGCNNUCNNCUAGCACGCGCUCGGCGGUGAG
rnacentral:rRNA from 1 species